rnacentral:rRNA from 1 species
GAUGAACGCUGGCGGCGUGCUUAACACAUGCAAGUCGAACGAUGAAGCCCAGCCUGCUGGGUGGAUUAGUGGCGAACGGGUGAGUAACACGUGAGUAACCUGCCCUUGACUCUGGGAUAAGCCUGGGAAACUGGGUCUAAUACUGGAUAUGACUUCUCAUCGCAUGGUGGGGGGUGGAAAGAUUUAUUGGUCUUGGAUGGACUCGCGGCCUAUCAGCUUGUUGGUGAGGUAAUGGCUCACCAAGGCGACGACGGGUAGCCGGCCUGAGAGGGUGACCGGCCACACUGGGACUGAGACACGGCCCAGACUCCUACGGGAGGCAGCAGUGGGGAAUAUUGCACAAUGGGCGCAAGCCUGAUGCAGCGACGCCGCGUGAGGGAUGACGGCCUUCGGGUUGUAAACCUCUUUCAGUAGGGAAGAAGCGAGAGUGACGGUACCUGCAGAAGAAGCGCCGGCUAACUACGUG